GGGGAUUUAGCUCAGUGGCCUAAGCGCCUGCCUGGCAAACACGAGGUUGUGAGUUCAAUCCCCA
rnacentral:tRNA from 1 species